AUUUAAUUUUUUUUUUUUUUUUUUUAAUUGUAAAACCAAGAUUGCAUUUUUUUUUUUUUUAUUUCAAAAUCGUGAGAAUUUCGAGUAUAAAAGAUCGAAACCAAAAAACUAUUUCACAGUUCUUUAUUUCGAUUUUGGAGCAACUUUUAUACGCUAUUUUUUAAUUGCGCUAUUUUUCAAAUUUCUUUUAAAGCAAAAAAAAAUGAAAUUUCUCUCAUCAACUUUGAUGCUCCUUGUUCUUGGAGUAUUAUUAAAUGCUGUACCAACUUAUCAAGCACCACCUCUUAAAUCUCCUUCUAACAAAGCAUUGUUGAAAUUUGGUGGAAAGUAAAAAGAAAUUUUGCUUUUCAACAUGUUGCACCAUCUACAAGGAAUUUUUUAGAAGAAAUUUUUUUUUGCCGACAUGUAUUUGAAAAAAAAUUUUAUCAAAAUAAAAAUUAUUUUUUAUUCAAUGGAUAUUGAAAAAAAAAAAUGUUUUCAUGAAUAAUAUUGAUUUAAUAAAAAAUUUUUCAAUUCUAGAAAUCAAGUACUUUAUUAUUUACAUAUAUAUUUCGAAAAAAAACCCAAAAAAAUAUUUAAAAAAAAAAUUCAUAUUUUCAAAUAAAAAAAAAAAUUUAUUUACACAAAUAUCUAUAUUUUUAAUUAUUAUUUUUUAUUUAAUUUCAAAAUAAACGCAAAAAUAUUUUUAAAAAAAUCUUUUCUUUUAUUUUUGAAAGAAUUUCUUUUUUUUUAUUUAAAUUUAAAAAAUAACUAUUUUUUUUUUUGUAACAUUAAACUUAUCUGGUUGAUAUAUUUUUUUUAAGAAGCCAAUAAAAAAAAUGUUAGAUAAAAUUUAAUUACUUUUUUUUAUUUAAAAAUCGUGAGGGAUUCUAGUAUAAAAUAAGCAAAAUUCGGUUGGUAAUUUCAUAGUGUCAUUUAAAGUUCGCACAGAAGUUACUGCAAUUUAUAUCUUAGCUAUUUUUCAAAUUUCUUUGAAAGCAAAAAAAUGAAAUUUCUCUCAUCAACUUUGAUGCUCCUUAUUCUUGGAGUAUUAUUAAAUGUUAUACCAACUUAUCAAGCACCACCUAAGACUGCUAUGAAAAGUCUUUCUGAUCAAACAUUACAGAAAAGUGCUGGAAAGUAAAAAGAAGUUUUGAUUUUCAACAUGUUGCACCUUCUACAAGAAAUUUUUUAGAAGAAAUUUUUUUUGCCGACAUGUAUUUGAAAAAAAAAAUUUUAUAAAAAUUAAAAAUUAUUUUUUAUUCAAUGGAUAUUGAAAAAAAAACAUUGUAAAUUAUAUGUCUAAAAAAAAAAAUGUUUUCAUGAAUAAUAUUGAUUUAAUAAAAAAUGUUUCAAUUCUAGUAA